rnacentral:miRNA from 1 species
ACAGCGUUGCCCCCCUGUGG